UACGAAGGGGGCUAGCGUUGCUCGGAAUCACUGGGCGUAAAGGGUGCGUAGGCGGGUCUUUAAGUCAGGGGUGAAAUCCUGGAGCUCAACUCCAGAACUGCCUUUGAUACUGAGGAUCUUGAGUUCGGGAGAGGUGAGUGGAACUGCGAGUGUAGAGGUGAAAUUCGUAGAUAUUCGCAAGAACACCAGUGGCGAAGGCAGCAUACUGGCCGACCACUGACGCUGAGGCGCGAAAGCGUGGGUAGCAAACAGG
rnacentral:rRNA from 1 species